rnacentral:rRNA from 1 species
GGUGUUCUUCCCGAUAUCUACACAUUCCACCGUUACACCGGGAAUUCCAGUCUCCCCUACCGCACUCCAGCCCGCCCGUACCCGGCGCAGAUCCACCGUUAAGCGAUGGACUUUCACACCGGACGCGACGAACCGCCUACGAGCCCUUUACGCCCAAUAAUUCCGGAUAACGCUUGCACCCUACGUAUUACCGCGGCUGCUGGCACGUAGUUAGCCGGUGCUUAUUCGAAAGGUACACUCACCCGAAGGCUUGCUCCCGAUCAAAAGCGGUUUACAACCCGAAGGCCGUCAUCCCGCACGCGGCGUCGCUGCAUCAGGCUUGCGCCCAUUGUGCAAUAUUCCCCACUGCUGCCUCCCGUAGGAGUCUGGGCCGUAUCUCAGUCCCAAUGUGGCCGGUCGCCCUCUCAGGCCGGCUACCCGUCGUAGGCUCGGUGGGCCGUUACCCCGCCGACUACCUGAUAGGACGCGACCCCAUCCCAUACCGAUGAAAUCUUUCCCGACACCCCAUGCGAGGAG